rnacentral:rRNA from 1 species
UGAGUAACACGUAUCCAACCUGCCGUCUACUCUUGGACAGCCUUCUGAAAGGAAGAUUAAUACAAGAUGGCAUCAUGAGUCCGCAUGUUCACAUGAUUAAAGGUAUUCCGGUAGACGAUGGGGAUGCGUUCCAUUAGGUUGUUGGUGAGGUAACGGCUCACCAAGCCUUCGAUGGAUAGGGGUUCUGAGAGGAAGGUCCCCCACAUUGGAACUGAGACACGGUCCAA